GUAGGUUUCGGGUUGUGCUUACUAAGUUUUACACUUUUCAGAAAUUGUGGAAAUGAUAAAAGAGGUUUCACUGGAGAGUGAUUUGGCUAUUUUGAUUCGUGGCCUUUACUCUGCAAGAAAUAGAAAGAGAAGCAUAUCCGUAAUGUUUCCACCCUUCUCUCUUACUUCACUUUGGACUCAUUUAAGGUGUUGAAGGGAAUGGAGCAAGAAAUCUUCAAUCAAUUCAUGAAACUGAGUUGUGAUGUCAUGCGAAUUGAUCGCAUCAGGAACUCCCUAGAGUAUCGAAGUCCACAACUAGGACCUAAAGCCGGGACUCUCGAAUAGGCUGUUGAAGUGUUGAAAAGGGAAACAAGUUAUGCGGAGGAAAGGAUUAGAUCUUAUUUAGCGAAGAUUGUGAUGCCAAGAAGUGCUGAGGGAUCGGAGGACAAAUUCCAUGCUUCCUAUGCUCCUACAUUUCACAUUAGAGGGUGAGUUGAAGUUGGAAGAAAAUGGAGGCCUUGUUUAGUAAUCGGUUAAUUCUUAACUAUUUCUAUUCUUUUGUUUGCUUGAAUAAAAAGAAAAAAAAUCAUUUGGUAAUGUUAGUUAAUUUUUUAUUUCUGAUAACAAA